rnacentral:rRNA from 1 species
UACGUAGGGUGCAAGCGUUAAUCGGAAUUACUGGGCGUAAAGCGUGCGCAGGCGGUUUUGUAAGUCUGUCGUGAAAGCCACGGGCUCAACCUGGGAAUUGCGAUGGAGACUGCAAGGCUUGAAUCUGGCAGAGGGGGGUAGAAUUCCACGUGUAGCAGUGAAAUGCGUAGAGAUGUGGAGGAACACCGAUGGCGAAGGCAGCCCCCUGGGUCAAGAUUGACGCUCAUGCACGAAAGCGUGGGGAGCAAACAGG